CUCUCAAACUUAAGGAUACGUGUAGCUAG
rnacentral:piRNA from 1 species